GGUCCAGGUGUGGAGAAAAAAUCAGAUUGCCUGUGGCCCCCAGGCUCCUUCCCCAGCUGCUUCUGUCCUAGCUGAGGCCUGGGUGCCAUUCUUACACUCUCACAGUCGUGUGCUUGCACCUGCACACAUCACACACCUUGCUGGUCACACAGUCACAGCCUGGCCUCUACUCCUGUGGUCCAGUGGCUGGACACCCCCUGAGAUGGCUCAAAGGAGUCAGGACUUGGAAGUGGGGACAUCCGGGUAGCUGAAGGAAAUCCACACACCCAGACUCUCAGACCUGAGGUAGGCUCCCCAGGGGCUGGGAUAGGAGUUGGAC
rnacentral:lncRNA from 1 species